GACGAACGCUGGCGGCGUGCCUAAUACAUGCCAGUAGAACGCACAGUUUAUACCGUAGCUUGCUACACCAUAGACUGUGAGUUGCGAACGGGUGAGUAACGCGUAGGUAACCUGCCUGGUAGCGGGGGAUAACUAUUGGAAACGAUAGCUAAUACCGCAUAAUAUUGAUUAUUGCAUGAUAAUUAAUUGAAAGGUGCAAUUGCACCACUACCAGAUGGUCCUGCGUUGUAUUAGCUAGUAGGUGAGGUAACGGCUCACCUAGGCGACGAUACAUAGCCGACCUGAGAGGGUGAUCGGCCACACUGGGACUGAGACACGGCCCAGACUCCUACGGGAGGCAGCAGUAGGGAAUCUUCGGCAAUGGACGAAAGUCUGACCGAGCAACGCCGCGUGAGUGAAGAAGGUUUUCGGAUCGUAAAGCUCUGUUGUAAGAGAAGAACGGGUGUGAGAGUGGAAAGUUCACACUGUGACGGUAUCUUACCAGAAAGGGACGGCUAACUACGUG
rnacentral:rRNA from 1 species